GACGAACGCUGGCGGCGUGCUUAACACAUGCAAGUCGAACGGAAAGGCCCUGCUUUUGUGGGGUGCUCGAGUGGCGAACGGGUGAGUAACACGUGAGUAACCUGCCCUUGACGUUGGGAUAACUUCAGGAAACUGGGGCUAAUACCGGAUAGGAGCUCCCGCUGCAUGGUGGGGGUGGGACAGUUUCGGCGGUUGGGGAUGGACUCGCGGCUGAUCAGCUUGUUGGUGGGGUAGUGGCUUACCAAGGCCUUGACGGGUAGCCGGCCUGAGAGGGUGACCGGCCACAUUGGAACUGAGAUACGGCCCAGACUCCAACGGGAGGCAGCGGUGGGGAAUAUUGCACAAUGGGCGGAAGCCUGGUGCAGCAACGCCGCGUGCGGGAUGACGGCCUUGGGGUUGUAAACCGCUUUCGCCUGUGACGAAGCGUGAGUGACGGUAAUGGGUAAAGAAGCACCGGCUAACUACGUG
rnacentral:rRNA from 1 species